GAUGAACGCUGGCGGCGUGCCUAAUACAUGCAAGUCGAGCGAACAGACGAGGAGCUUGCUCCUCUGACGUUAGCGGCGGACGGGUGGGUAACACGUGGAUAACCUACCUAUAAGACUGGGAUAACUUCGGGAAACCGGAGCUAAUACCGGAUAAUAUAUUGAACCGCAUGGUUCAAUAGUGAAAGACGGUUUUGCUGUCACUUAUAGAUGGAUCCGCGCCGCAUUAGCUAGUUGGUAAGGUAACGACUUACCAAGGCAACGAUGCGUAGCCGACCUGAGAGGGUGAUCGGCCACACUGGAACUGAGACACGGUCCAGACUCCUACGGGAGGCAGCAGUAGGGAAUCUUCCGCAAUGGGCGAAAGCCUGACGGAGCAACGCCGCGUGAGUGAUGAAGGUCUUCGGAUCGUAAAACUCUGUUAUUAGGGAAGAACAAAUGUGUAAGUAACUAUGCACGUCUUGACGGUACCUAAUCAGAAAGCCACGGCUAACUACGUG
rnacentral:rRNA from 1 species